rnacentral:rRNA from 1 species
UACGAAGGGGGCUAGCGUUGCUCGGAAUGACUGGGCGUAAAGGGCGCGUAGGCGGAUGGUACAGUCAGAUGUGAAAUUCCCGGGCUCAACCUGGGGGCUGCAUUUGAUACGUGCUGUCUUGAGUUCGGAAGAGGGUCGUGGAAUUCCCAGUGUAGAGGUGAAAUUCGUAGAUAUUGGGAAGAACACCGGUGGCGAAGGCGGCGACCUGGUCCGAGACUGAGGCUGAGGCGCGAAAGCGUGGGGAGCAAACAGG